rnacentral:rRNA from 1 species
UUGAACGCUGGCGGCAGGCUUAACACAUGCAAGUCGAGCGGAGAGAGGUAGCUUGCUACUGAUCUUAGCGGCGGACGGGUGAGUAAUACUUAGGAAUCUGGCUAUUAGUGGGGGACAACAUUUCGAAAGGGAUGCUAAUACCGCAUACGUCCUACGGGAGAAAGCAGGGGAUCUUCGGACCUUGCGCUAAUAGAUGAGCCUAAGUCGGAUUAGCUAGUUGGUGGGGUAAAGGCCUACCAAGGCGACGAUCUGUAGCGGGUCUGAGAGGAUGAUCCGCCACACUGGGACUGAGACACGGCCCAGACUCCUACGGGAGGCAGCAGUGGGGAAUAUUGGACAAUGGGGGGAACCCUGAUCCAGCCAUGCCGCGUGUGUGAAGAAGGCCUUAUGGUUGUAAACCUCUUUUGUAGGGGACGAAUCUGUCCGUGAAGAACGGAUAAUGACGGUACCCUGCGAAUAAGCCACGGCUAACUACGU